CCUACGGGAGGCAGCAGUGAGGAAUAUUGGUCAAUGGGCGCGAGCCUGAAGCAGCCAAGUCGCGUGAGGGAAGACGGUCCUAUGGAUUGUAAACCCCUUUUGCCGGGGAGCAAAAGACGCCACGCGUUGCGUUCCGAGAGUACCCGAACAAAAAGCAUCGGCAAACUCCGUGCCAGCAGCCGCGGUAAUACGGAGGAUGCGAGCGUUAUCCGGAUUUAUUGGGUUAAAAGGGUGCGCAGGCGGAAGAUAAAGUCAGCGGUAAAAUUGAGGGGCUCACCCUCGUCGAGCCGUUGAAACUGGUUAUCUUGAGUGAGUGAGAGGUAAGCGGAAUGCGUGGUGUAGCGGUGAAAUGCAUAGAUAUCACGCAGAACUCCGAUUGCGAAGGCAGCAUACCGGCGCUUAACUGACGCUGAUGCACGAAAGUGUGGGUAGCGAACAGGAUUAGAUACCCUUGUAGUC
rnacentral:rRNA from 1 species